GAAACGACUGCUAAGACUGGAUAGGAGACAAGAAGGCAUCUUCUUGUCUUUAAAAGACCUAGCAAUAGGUAUGCUUAGGGAGGAGCUUGCGUCACAUUAGUUAGUUGGUGGGGUAAAGGCCUACCAAGACUAUGAUGUGUAGCCGGGCUGAGAGGUUGAACGGCCACAUUGGGACUGAGACACGGCCCAAACUCCUACGGGAGGCAGCAGUAGGGAAUUUUCGGCAAUGGAGGAAACUCUGACCGAGCAACGCCGCGUGAACGAUGAAGUAUUUCGGUACGUAAAGUUCUUUUAUUAGGGAAGAAUAAAUGAUGGAAAAAUCAUUCUGACGGUACCUAAUGAAUAAGCCCCGGCUAACUAUGUGCCAGCAGCCGCGGUAAUACAUGGGGGGCAAGCGUUAUCCGGAAUUAUUGGGCGUAAAGGGUGCGUAGGCGGUUAAAUAAGUUUAUGGUCUAAGUGCAAUGCUCAACAUUGUGAUGCUAUAAAAACUGUUUAGCUAGAGUAAGAUAGAGGCAAGUGGAAUUCCAUGUGUAGUGGUAAAAUGCGUAAAUAUAUGGAGGAACACCAGUAGCGAAAGGCGGCUUGCUGGGUCUUUACUGACGCUGAGGCACGAAAGCGUGGGGAGCAAACAGGAUUAGAUACCCUGGUAGUCCACGCCGUAAACGAUGAGUACUAAACGUUGGGUAAAACCAGUGUUGAAGUUAACACAUUAAGUACUCCGCCUGAGUAGUACGUACGCAAGUAUGAAACUUAAAGGAAUUGACGGGACUCCGCACAAGCGGUGGAUCAUGUUGUUUAAUUCGAAGGUACCCGAAAAACCUCACCAGGUCUUGACAUGCUUCUGCAAAGCUGUAGAAACACAGUGGAGGUUAUCAGUUGCACAGGUGGUGCAUGGUUGUCGUCAGCUCGUGUCGUGAGAUGUUGGGUUAAGUCCCGCAACGAGCGCAACCCUUAUUGUUAGUUACCAGCACGUAAUGGUGGGGACUUUAGCAAGACUGCCAGUGAUAAAUUGGAGGAAGGUGGGGACGACGUCAAAUCAUCAUGCCCCUUAUGACCUGGGCUACAAACGUGAUACAAUGGCUGUUACAAAGGGUAGCUGAAGCGCAAGUUUUUGGCGAAUCUCAAAAAAACAGUCUCAGUUCGGAUUGAAGUCUGCAACUCGACUUCAUGAAGUUGGAAUCGCUAGUAAUCGCGAAUCAGCAUGUCGCGGUGAAUACGUUCUCGGGGUUUGUACACACCGCCCGUCA
rnacentral:rRNA from 1 species